rnacentral:misc_RNA from 1 species
GAUGAAGAACGCAGCGAAAUGCGAUAGGUAGUGUGAAUUGCAGAAUUCAGUGAAUCAUCGAAUCUUUGAACGCACAUUGCGCCCUCUGGUAUUCCGGGGGGCAUGCCUGUUCGAGCGUCAUUAUAACCACUCAAGCUCUCGCUUGGUAUUGGGGUUCGCGGUUUCGCGGCCCCUAAAAUCAGUGGCGGUGCCUGUCGGCUCUACGCGUAGUAAUACUUCUCGCGAUUGAGUUCGAUAGGUCUACUUGCCAGUAACCCCCAAUUUUUACAGGUUGACCUCGGAUCAGGUAGGGAUACCCGCUGAACUUAAGCAUAUCAAUAAGCGGAGGA